rnacentral:rRNA from 1 species
CCUACGGGAGGCAGCAGUGAGGAAUAUUGGUCAAUGGACGAGAGUCUGAACCAGCCAAGUAGCGUGAAGGAUGCCUGCCCUAUGGGUUGUAAACUUCUUUUAUAAAGGAAUAAAACGAGGCACGUGUGCCUUUUUGUAUGUACUUUAUGAAUAAGGAUCGGCUAACUCCGUGCCAGCAGCCGCGGUAAUACGGAGGAUCCGAGCGUUAUCCGGAUUUAUUGGGUUUAAAGGGAGCGUAGAUGGGUUGUUAAGUCAGUUGUGAAAGUUUGCGGCUCAACCGUAAAAUUGCAAUUGAUACUGGCAGUCUUGAGUACAGUUGAGGUAAGCGGAAUUCGUGGUGUAGCGGUGAAAUGCUUAGAUAUCACGAAGAACCCCGAUUGCGAAGGCAGCUUACUAAACUGUGACUGACAUUGAUGCUCGAAAGUGUGGGUAUCAAACAGGAUUAGAUACCCCAGGAGUC